UCCAGGGUAGCCUAGUGGACAUGGCAUCUGCCCGGUAAGCGGAACACUGUGGGUUCGAUUCCCAUCCCUUGAAA